rnacentral:rRNA from 1 species
CUUGGUCAUUUAGAGGAAGUAAAAGUCGUAACAAGGUUUCCGUAGGUGAACCUGCGGAAGGAUCAUUAGUGAAUUAAACAUGCUUGGUGUCUUCGCUUCGGCAAGGCCCUUGCUUAAAUCACAUCCUAACACCUGUGAACUGUAAGACGUAUGAUGAGGUCUUUGGCCAAGUCAUCGUCUGCCCAUUUUUAACAAACAAUUAAUGUAACAAACGUAGUCUUAUUAUAACCUAAUAAAACUUUCAACAACGGAUCUCUUGGCUCUCGCAUCGAUGAAGAACGCAGCGAAAUGCGAUAAGUAAUGUGAAUUGCAGAAUUCAGUGAAUCAUCGAAUCUUUGAACGCACCUUGCGCUCUUUGGUAUUCCGAAGAGCAUGCCUGUUUGAGUGUCAUGAAAAUAUCAACCUUGACUUGGGUUUUGUGCUCUAGUCUUGGCUUGGAAUUGGGUGCUUGCCGCUUUUACGAGCGGCUCACCUUAAAUGUAUUAGCUGGAUCUGUCUUUGAGACUUGGUUUGACUUGGCGUAAUAAGUAUUUCGCUAAGGACAUUCUUCGGAGUGGCCUCGUUUCUAGGACGCUUGUCCGCUUCCCAAUACAAGUUCCACCUCGUGGACAUGACUUUUUUAUUAUCUGGCCUCAAAUCAGGUAGGACUACCCGCUGAACUUAAGCAUAUCAAUAAGCGGAGGA